GAUGAACGCUGGCGGCGUGCCUAAUACAUGCAAGUCGAACGAACGGACGAGAAGCUUGCUUUUCUGAUGUUAGCGGCGGACGGGUGAGUAACACGUGGAUAACCUACCUAUAAGACUGGGAUAACUUCGGGAAACCGGAGCUAAUACCGGAUAAUAUUUUGAACCGCAUGGUUCAAAAGUGAAAGACGGUCUUGCUGUCACUUAUAGAUGGAUCCGCGCUGCAUUAGCUAGUUGGUAAGGUAACGGCUUACCAAGGCAACGAUGCAUAGCCGACCUGAGAGGGUGAUCGGCCACACUGGAACUGAGACACGGUCCAGACUCCUACGGGAGGCAGCAGUAGGGAAUCUUCCGCAAUGGGCGAAAGCCUGACGGAGCAACGCCGCGUGAGUAAUGAAGGUCUUCGGAUCGUAAAACUCUGUUAUUAGGGAAGAACAUAUGUGUAAGUAACUGUGCACAUCUUGACGGUACCUAAUCAGAAAGCCACGGCUAACUACGUGCCAGCAGCCGCGGUAAUACGUAGGUGGCAAGCGUUAUCCGGAAUUAUUGGGCGUAAAGCGCGCGUAGCGGUUUUUUAAGUCUGAUGUGAAAGCCCACGGCUCAACCGUGGAGGGUCAUUGGAAACUGGAAAACUUGAGUGCAGAAGAGGAAAGUGGAAUUCCAUGUGUAGCGGUGAAAUGCGCAGAGAUAUGGAGGAACACCAGUGGCGAAGGCGACUUUCUGGUCUGUAACUGACGCUGAUGUGCGAAAGCGUGGGGAUCAAACAGGAUUAGAUACCCUGGUAGUCCACGCCGUAAACGAUGAGUGCUAAGUGUUAGGGGGUUUCCGCCCCUUAGUGCUGCAGCUAACGCAUUAAGCACUCCGCCUGGGGAGUACGACCGCAAGGUUGAAACUCAAAGGAAUUGACGGGGACCCGCACAAGCGGUGGAGCAUGCGGUUUAAUUCGAAGCAACGCGAAGAACCUUACCAAAUCUUGACAUCCUUUGACAACUCUAGAGAUAGAGCCUUCCCCUUCGGGGGACAAAGUGACAGGUGGUGCAUGGUUGUCGUCAGCUCGUGUCGUGAGAUGUUGGGUUAAGUCCCGCAACGAGCGCAACCCUUAAGCUUAGUUGCCAUCAUUAAGUUGGGCACUCUAAGUUGACUGCCGGUGACAAACCGGAGGAAGGUGGGGAUGACGUCAAAUCAUCAUGCCCCUUAUGAUUUGGGCUACACACGUGCUACAAUGGACAAUACAAAGGGCAGCGAAACCGCGAGGUCAAGCAAAUCCCAUAAAGUUGUUCUCAGUUCGGAUUGUAGUCUGCAACUCGACUACAUGAAGCUGGAAUCGCUAGUAAUCGUAGAUCAGCAUGCUACGGUGAAUACGUUCCCGGGUCU
rnacentral:rRNA from 1 species